AAUAAUUUAUUCGAAAAUAAGAAUAAAUUAUUUUGGUGAAAGCCAAAGGUCAACUUUUCUGAUUCAUUUCUGAAAAGUAAAGACUAAAGAAUAAAGACGGAGCCAGAAAAUACAUUUUCGACAGAUCUAAAUAUCUAAUGGAACUCGGAGAGUAAUCCAAGUGGUCCAGGAGGGGGAGGAGACACCGGCGCCGGCGGUGGAAGAUAGAGGAGAGAGGAGAAAGCUGUUGCGGUGGAGGAGAGGGAGAAUGAUAUAUGAGGGUGGAAGAUCGACUGAGGAAUCUGAAAUUGGUGCUCUGCUUUCUGAUCCACCAGGAGUUUUUGGCGGCUGUAGUAAGACCCGCAAGCUCUGGCCGGAGAAGCAUGUACGAUAUGAUCCCGCCCAAUUCAUGGGAUGGGAAAGGAAUGUCUGUCAGCAAGGGCAAUUGGUAGUAAGAGUUGCAAGUAGGAAUUUGUUUUUACAGUAGUGGUUUGAUAAGGGCUUAACAUGAUUUUUUUAAAAUUCUAGAAAUUUAGAAAUAGAAAAUACUCUCAACGUCCUAUAAAGUUUAUCUCAUUUUUCGUCCCACAAAAUUUGUCCCAUUUGGAAAUUUUGUGAGAUGGAGUGAGUAAUUAAAAAAACCAUGUAUGUCCGCCCAUGUCUGUCGGUUGUCGUGAUAGAAUGAUGCCACAUAUUUCACCUGACCUCCUUGUAUAUUUUUUCUGUUGUGAUUGAAUGAUGCCACAUAAUUCACUUGACCUUAUUGUA